rnacentral:rRNA from 1 species
CAUGUCCUUUUGAUAUUAAUAUAAGGUUUAAUCUGCCCACUGAAAAAUUAAAUGGCCGCAGUAAUUUGACUGUGCUAAGGUAGCAUAAUAAAUAGUUUUUUAAUUGAAAGCUGGUAUGAAUGAUUGGAUGAGAUAAUAGCUGUCUCUAAUUUAUUUAAUUAGAAUUUUAUUUUUAAGUAAAAAAGCUUAAAUAAUUUUAAAAGACGAGAAGACCCUAUAGAGUUUAAUAAUUUUAUAAUUUUAUAAAAAAUUAAUUUAAAUUUUUUAAUUUUUAAAAUUAUUUGGUUGGGGUGAUUGAAAAAUUUGAUAAACUUUUUUUUUAUUUAAACAUAAAUUUAUGAAUAAUUGAUCCAUUAAUUAUGAUUAUAAGAAUAAAUUACCUUAGGGAUAACAGCGUAAUUUUUUUUUAGAGUUCUUAUCGAAAAAAAAGGUUGCUACCUCGAUGUUGGAUUAAAGUUAAAUUUUGGUGUAGAAGCUAANNAUUUAAGUCUGUUCGACUUUUAAAACUUUACAUGAUCUGAGU